UACGUAGGGUGCGAGCGUUGUCCGGAAUUAUUGGGCGUAAAGAGCUCGUAGGCGGACUGUCACGUCUGCUGUGAAAAGCUGGGGCUUAACCCUGGCCUUGCAGUGGAUACGGGCAGACUAGAGGUAGGUAGGGGAGAAUGGAAUUCCCGGUGUAGCGGUGAAAUGCGCAGAUAGUCGGGAGGAACACCGGUGGCGAAGGCGGUUCUCUGGGCCUUACCUGACGCUGAGGAGCGAAAGCGUGGGGGAGCGAACAGG
rnacentral:rRNA from 1 species